GUUGACAAUGUUCAACUUUUCUGUAGCGUUGGCUCUGGGAAAUAAGUUAGAUUGGACUUGGGUUAAGCAUAAGUUAAGUCAAGAAUAAAAAUUGGGAAAUUUGGCAUUAUUAGUCAAAAUUUGUUAUUUACGUGAACCACUUCAGUUGUGACAUGGAAGUGAGUAGCUAAGGCAAUAGGGAAUUUCUAGUCUAAGUGUUAAGGGGGGAAAAUAACUUAAGUGUUGGAUAUGAUAUUAAAAAGAGGGAAAACAAACUGUUGGCUAAGGGUGAAGGAAUUGCUGAGAGGGGAGUAAGAGGUUUGUAAUUAAUUUUAAGUCGGAAAUUGAAUAAUGUUGAUAAUUAUUAUUAAUUGUAAUUCAAGGCAUGGCUAAGGAUGAGAUUCAACCAAUGAUAGUGGCCUGAAAUGUUUGAAGGUGGAGCCGGCAAAAAUAGAGGUGAGGAGGAAGAGGCUGUCAUUGAGUAUAUAUAAGGUGAAGUGAAGAAGUGGUCGGUGUUUACAAUUCACAUGAGCAAUCUUUAAAUUUCUUCAACAAAAUCACAGAGAUAUCAAAGAAGAAGACGUAGCAGGCUACCAUGGUGAAAUUCAAUAGGAAAAUCAAAGAAGAAGACGAAGCAGGCUGCCAUGGUAAAUUCAAUAGGAACAUUGAUGAAAAUUGAAGAAAACCAGCAGUUGGUCAGAAAUUCGAGCAAAGUUGAGCAAGGUGAAGUGUUUGGUUAAUUUUGAGCUGUGGGAGAAGAUUCAGAGGCUCAAAUUUGAAGGUCCAAUCUGAUCUAUGGAGACAGCCCAACACCAAUCUUGAAGAACCAACCCAAGAAAUAUGAGAGUGGAUUUAGGAAAGAUCUGAUGCUGCCUGAUAAAGCCUGCUACUUUGCCAUGUAUCAGCUAAAGCUAAUAACUCUUUUCAGCUUUGUCAAUCAGUUUGAGUGGGAAAACAAGAGAAAUCAUAUGAGGGUUUCGAGGAAGUCUUCGUUCCUCCAUAUACCUUUAGCUUGUGCAGGGUUUCAAUAGAGAUGAUGAAGAUCUUGAGCUCAAACCUUCAAUGACUCACCUGCAUGAAACCAAAAACGAGUAGAAGAUGCAAAGAGGAACAAGAUGAUGGUAAGAGAAGAAGGAAGAACACACUGGAGUUAAGUGGUUCAGCCAGAAAGCCUACACCCACUGUUCAAAAAUUUCUUUACAAAGAGAUGAGCUCAACGUGAGCCGGUGGUUACAACAAAAAAACCAGAAAAAUAACAUAUAAGUACUUCUAAUUUCUUUAUUUUUCUGUUACAAUCUCCACCUUUGUAAGCAUCCUGUGAACCUCUCUGUUCAUUUUGUAUUGAUUUUGAGCUAACCAUUUUCAGGUAGCUCGAACCCAAAGAGUUCCAGAAAACAACAAGCUUGCUUUGAGGGACAGUCUUGGUCAACAUAUCAGCCACAUUGUUAGAGGGAAUCGAGUAGGGGGUUGCAGCUAAAGGUUGAAGAAGAUCAGGCUAUGGUGGAGCUCGAUGGGCGCACGUGCCUUGUGCGCACACACCAGUCGCACACACCAUGCGUCCGUGCAUCUCGCAGCACCCAUCUGUGCGUCCAUUGUUUCGUCCGUGCGCCCACUUGAUGGCUAGCGACGUGCCUCACUCGUUCACACACUCGACACCCAUUAGGCCACUCAAUGCACAGCACCAGGUGUCCAACGGCCGUAGGCCCUGCCUAUGCACACACUUAAUGCCUUGUGCGUGAAUUGUCAGCCAUUAUCCUACCUAGUGUGGAUGUCUUAACACCCAUGCCCAAUCGUUGUUGUGCACCCAACUGCCCAUCAAUUAAACCGAUUGCCUUGUCUCAGUCAUUUUGUUAUUUUAGACAUUCACUUGAGCAUUGGAGUUGGUAAGUUGGAGUUAAGACUAAUUUGGUGUGUUUAUGACAUUAUAGCCCUAAAUGACUAAGUAUGGACUCUAAAGAGA